rnacentral:lncRNA from 1 species
AAUAGAGAUCUAUACACCAAGAUCCUUUAAGAAACUCUUGUUUAUGCUUCUUCACUUAAAAAUGUGCAUGAAACUAAUAGUUGUCAAGGAGUCCGGUGAUCACCCAAUCUGAGAUUUAAUGUGAGCAGAAGGCCGACGAAAGCUACUCAUGGAGUAGUUGACAAUCUACUUAAUUAAUUGGAAUACUCUCCAAAUGGGGAUUAUGUGUGUGGGAAAUUUAAAUUAUGAUGGUUCAGUUAUAGCUCUGUUUAACAUUUCUAGUUUCUUCUGAGAAAACAUGGGGGAGGGGACAAUGUUUGAUAGGUAUGCAGCCAUUAAAGAUAGAAUGAAAAUUCUUUUGAUACUUUAGCCAUU